rnacentral:rRNA from 1 species
GUGGAGCCUGCGGCUUAAUUUGACUCAACACGGGAAACCUCACCAGGCCCGGACACCAGAAGGAUUGACAGAUUAAGAGCUCUUUCUCGAUUUGGUGGGUGGUGGUGCAUGGCCGUUCUUAGUUGGUGGAGUGAUUUGUCUGGUUAAUUCCGGUAACGAACGAGACUCUGGCCUACUAAAUAGUCGACGGGCGUCUUGGUGCAUGGGCCCCGUUCGACACAGUCUUCUUAGAGGGAUGAGCAGCGAGUAUAGCUGCAGGAGAUUGAGCAAUAACAGGUCUGUGAUGCCCUUAGAUGUCCUGGGCCGCACGCGCGCUACACUGAAUGGGUUAGCGGGUUGUCCUUCUCCGAGAGGAGCGGGAAAUCGCGUGAAAACCAUUCGUGAUAGGGAUUGGGGCUUGCAAUUGUUUCCCAUGAACGAGGAAUUCCCAGUAAGCGCAAGUCAUCAGCUUGCGUUGAUUAAGUCCCUGCCCUUUGUACACACCGCCCGUCGCUACUACCGAUUGAAUGAUUUAGUGAGGGCUUCGGACUGGCGGUCUUGGACUGGGGCGCCGGGUUUGUCCCAGCAAUGGGAUGCCGGUGACCCGCCUGGACGGGCCGGAAAGAUGUCCAAACUUGAUCAUUUAGAGGAAGUAAAAGUCGUAACAAGGUUUCC